AACAUCGCGCACCUGCGGGAACCUGCGGAGGGAUCAUUACCGAGUGUGAACCCCCCCGUAAAAAAGAGGGGUUACCUCCCGUCCUCUGCUGGGAACCCCUUUCCAACUUGGAAGGAGGUUGUUUUCAGACCCUUCUGCUUCGGUGGGGUAACCCACCGGAACAACCUCAAAAAUAUUCUCAAUUCAAAACCGUUCAGUCCGAGAACUUUUUUGAAAAGCGAAAAAACUUUUAACAACGGA
rnacentral:misc_RNA from 1 species